UGCAAGUCGAGGGGCAGCAUGGUCUUAGCUUGCUAAGGCCGAUGGCGACCGGCGCACGGGUGAGUAACACGUAUUCAACCUGCCUCAUACUCGGGGAUAGCCUUUCGAAAGAAAGAUUAAUACCCGAUAGUAUAGUAUUUCCGCAUGGUUUCACUAUUAAAGAAUUUCGGUUAUCGAUGGGGAUGCGUUCCAUUAGGUUGUUGGCGGGGUAACGGCCCACCAAGCCUUCGAUGGAUAGGGGUUCUGAGAGGAAGGUCCCCACAUUGGAACUGAGACACGGUCCAAACUCC
rnacentral:rRNA from 1 species